GAUGAACGCUGGCGGCGUGCCUAAUACAUGCAAGUCGAGCGAACGGACGAGAAGCUUGCUUUUCUGAUGUUAGCGGCGGACGGGUGAGUAACACGUGGAUAACCUACCUAUAAGACUGGGAUAACUUCGGGAAACCGGAGCUAAUACCGGAUAAUAUUUUGAACCGCAUGGUUCAAAAGUGAAAGACGGUCUUGCUGUCACUUAUAGAUGGAUCCGCGCUGCAUUAGCUAGUUGGUAAGGUAACGGCUUACCAAGGCAACGAUGCAUAGCCGACCUGAGAGGGAGAACGGCCACACGGGAACUGAGACACGGUCCAGACGCCUACGGGAGGCAGCAGUAGGGAAUCUUCCGCAAUGGGCGAAAGCCUGACGGAGCAACGCCGCGUGAGUGAUGAAGGUCUUCGGAUCGUAAAACUCUGUUAUUAGGGAAGAACAUAUGUGUAAGUAACUGUGCACAUCUUGACGGUACCUAAUCAGAAAGCCACGGCUAACUACGUG
rnacentral:rRNA from 1 species